rnacentral:rRNA from 1 species
UACGUAGGGUGCGAGCGUUGUCCGGAAUUAUUGGGCGUAAAGAGCUCGUAGGCGGUGUGUCGCGUCGGCCGUGAAAACCUGGGGCUCAACUCUGGGCGUGCGGUCGAUACGGGCAUCACUAGAGUUCGGCAGGGGAGACUGGAAUUCCUGGUGUAGCGGUGAAAUGCGCAGAUAUCAGGAGGAACACCAGUGGCGAAGGCGGCUGCCUGGCCCAAUACUGACACUCAGGUGCGACAGCGUGGGGAGCAAACAGG